rnacentral:lncRNA from 1 species
UUUUAACACCUCUUGAAUCUAAAACUAAGACCCAUAUUUAUAGUAAUUUGACCCUAACGGCCUUUACAUAUAUGACUGCCAAGUUCUCCGUUCCCAAGCGUUGGAUAUCUUAGAUGUUUCCACGUGUUGGUCUGAUGAAACGACUUUGUUUAAAUUUCAAAUACUUCCGCUUGAAGCUUCGACUCUGUGAACACCUAUGUCGAAGAGAG